rnacentral:lncRNA from 1 species
CUGUCAGGUCAUACUUGUGUUUCCUGGUUUGCGUAUCGCCCUCAACAAUGACACUUUUUUAUGUACCAAAAAUAAACGUAUUGUUCGAGGUUUAUCAGGGAUUACAGUUCACAGUUUGUCGUUAAAAUCUGCCCGAAAGGCCAAACGCCGGGUGAAACGCCCUCUCUACCUUCGCUUCCUGCUUCGGAGGGGGGGGGGGGGGGGAGGGGAGGGGUCGAACUCGUUCUCGCUUCCUCCGAACAGUUCCGAUCUCGGCCGAUCUCCUGCACCGGCGGUAGUGGUAGUGCUGCUGUUUUGCUGCGUGUCCUUCUCGCGUCUACACCACCGUCCAUCUCUGCCACUUUUUCCAUCAUGGUGGACAUUUUGUUGUUGAUGUUUUUCGCCAUCAUGGGCCUCGUCUUCCUUUCUUACAUCAUCUACUUGCUGUGAUGAAGAUGAUGAAGCGUCCUGCUCAGCCACACAGGCGGCUGGUUGCACAGGCGUACACAGGAUGUAUGUUUUUCCUCUCCUCCUGCUUCACUGGUUUCCAUCAUGGACACUGGGAGAAGAGCCGGGGUCCAGCCAUGAUGGCUUCCCCAUUGGAGCUCAUGUAGGAGGUGAAGAUCAAGUCAGCUGUGAAGCUGUGAGGAGAAACAAAUGGACAAGAAGUGGAAGCCAAAGCCUUUCUGCCUCUCUGUCUCCUACUUGCACUCUGUAAUCACAUCCCUAUUCCUCCUUUUUCCUUAUUUAUUGGGCAGGAUCCUGCAACAAAUGUCAGCCCAAGAGCUCCCACUUACUUGCAAUCAGUGUAUUUUCUAUGCUACUCAAGGUUGUGCAUAAAAAAAAAAGGUAAAGGUGGAGAAAUGUUUCCUCUGCACAAGUCCAAUACAUUCGUAGACAUGGAUGCAGGACGGUUUUGUAGGGUUGAGUGUAAUACUGGUGUAGAAUUUGCCUUUUUAACAACACUGUGAGCUAAUUGUUGGCUCUAACUAUAAUAAUGUGUAGAGUUCAGUUUGUAUCAUCCUUAUGACUGUUUGUCCCACCCCCCCCCUCUAUACUCAUGUUUUGUUUAUUCAAACAGCUGGAGAGCUUCAGCUUCAUGUUGUCAGAGAUGCCUUGGUUGACUCAGCCUUGACAUCAGUGUUAUAUUAUUACUUAAUUCACGUGUUGACAAUAUGUUCUUCUGCUCACUGCAAUCAAAAUUCCCCGUCAGGUUAAAAGGGGAUGUGUGAGCUAUUUAACUUUUAUUUAUUUAUUUGGCUGCAAAUGAUAUCCAUGAGGAGCAAAGGUGUCAUUUCAGAAUUACUUCCACUUGAUGUGCUUCUCAGUUUUAACACUAAACCUCAUAUACAUUAUGUGUUAUAUAUAAAGGAUGUUAACUUUACUGAUGCACUGAUGAUUUACUGAGGUUAAUGAAAGUAUUUCACAUGAUAUGUCAAAUAAAGACGAUUUCAGUAAACCCUGAUUCUUUCUCUUCAAUUCACAAAAUAUUUUCUGCUGACCAUA